rnacentral:rRNA from 1 species
UGCCAGCAGCCGCGGUAACACGGGGGGCGCAAGCGUUAUCCGGAUUUACUGGGCGUAAAGGGUGCGAAGGCGGCAAAGUAUGUCAGGUGUGAAAUCCCGGGGCUCAACUCCGGAACUGCGCCUGAAACUACUUUGCUAGAGACUCGGAGAGGUAAGCAGAAUUCUAGGUGUAGCGGUGAAAUGCGUAGAUAUCUAGAGGAAUACCAAUGGCGAAGGCAGCUUACUGGACGAGAUCUGACGCUAAAGCACGAAAGCGUGGGGAGCGAAAGGGAUUAGAUA